ensembl:snRNA U6 U6 spliceosomal RNA
AUGCUCCCUUCAGAAGCAGGUACACUAAAAUGGGAGUGACACAGACGAAUCUAGCAGGGCCUUUGCACAAGGAUGACAUGCAAAUUCAUAAAGCAUUCCACCUUUUA